rnacentral:rRNA from 1 species
CCUACGGGUGGCAGCAGUGGGGAAUAUUGGGCAAUGGGCGCAAGCCUGACCCAGCAACGCCGCGUGAAGGAAGACGGCUUUCGGGUUGGAAACUUCUUUUGACAGGGAAGAGCAGAAGACGGUACCUGCCGAAUAAGCCACGGCUAACUACGUGCCAGCAGCCUCGGUAAUACGUAGGUGGCAAGCGUUGGCCGGAUUUACUGGGUGUAAAGGGCGUGUAGGCGGGCUGAUAAGUCAGAUGUGAAAGCCCGGGGCUCAACCCCCGAAAUGCAUUUGACACUGUUGGUCUUGAGUAUCGGAGAGGCAGGCGGAAUUCGUGGUGUAGCGGUGAAAUGCGUAGAUAUUAGGAGGAACACCAGUGGCGAAGGCGGCCUGCUAAACGGCAACUGACGGUGAGGCGCGAAAGCGUGGGGAGCAAACAGGAUUAGAUACCCCAGUAGUC